rnacentral:rRNA from 1 species
GCAGCCGCGGUAAUUCCAGCUCCAAUAGCGUAUAUUAAAGUUGUUGCGGUUAAAAAGCUCGUAGUUGGAUCUCGGCGGGCAGGGGGUGGUUCGCUCUUCAGCGCUACUGCCCCCGCUUUGCCCGUGUGAUUGGCGGAGGUUUCGGGGUGCUCUUCGUUGAGUGACUCGGAGCGCCGUCAGGUUUACUUUGAAAAAAUUAGAGUGCUCAAAGCAGGCUUUUCACGCUUGAAUAUUCGUGCAUGGAAUAAUGGAAUAGGAACUCGUUUCUAUUUUGUUGGUUUUCGGAAAUCGAGUUAAUGAUUAACAGGGACAAUUGGGGGCAUUAGUAUUCAGACGACAGAGGUGAAAUUCUUGGACCGUCUGAAGACUGACUACUGCGAAAGCAUUUGCCAAGAGUGUUUUCAUUAAUCAAGAACGAAAGUUAGAGGUUCGAAGGCGAUCAGAUACCGCCCUAGUUCUAACCAUAAACGAUGCCAGCUAGCGAUCUGCCGAGUUUUUUUUGUAGGCUCCGCAGGAAGCUUUCGGGAAACCAAAGCUUUUGGGUUCCGGGGGAAGUAUGGUUGCAAAGCUGAAACUUAAAGGAAUUGACGGAAGGGCACCACCAGGAGUGGAGCCUGCGGCUUAAUUUGACUCAACACGGGAAAUCUCACCAGGCCCGGACACUAGAAGGAUUGACAGAUUGAGAGCUCUUUCUCGAUUCGGUGGGUGGUGGUGCAUGGCCGUUCUUAGUUGGUGGAGUGAUUUGUCUGGUUAAUUCCGAUAACGAACGAGACUCUGUCCUGCUAAAUAGUUGGGUCGUCCUUCGUGCGAUCCAAGUUCUUCUUAGAGGGACUGGCUGCGUCUAGCAGCACGAGAUUGAGCAAUAACA